rnacentral:rRNA from 1 species
AGAGUUUGAUCCUGGCUCAGAUUGAACGCUGGCGGUAUGCUUUACACAUGCAAGUCGAACGGAUUUUGGAGCUUGCUCCAAAGUUAGUGGCGAACGGGUGAGUAAUAUAUCGGAACAUAUCCGGAAGUGGGGGAUAACGUAGCGAAAGUUACGCUAAUACCGCAUAUGCCCUGAGGGGGAAAGGGGGGGAUCGCAAGACCUCUCGCUUUCGGAGUGGCCGAUAUCGGAUUAGCUAGUAGGUGAGGUAAAGGCUCACCUAGGCGACGAUCCGUAGCUGGUCUGAGAGGACGACCAGCCACACUGGAACUGAGACACGGUCCAGACUCCUACGGGAGGCAGCAGUGGGGAAUUUUGGACAAUGGGCGAAAGCCUGAUCCAGCCAUACCGCGUGAGUGAAGAAGGCCUUCGGGUUGUAAAGCUCUUUCAGCCGGAAAGAAAUCGCACUUC